ACGCCCCCGGCUCCGAGCAAGUCGCGUCCUCUCCUCGCGAGAGGGCCUCUCCCGCCCAUGAAGGCUCCGAGACGGAAGUGGGGUACCGGAAGCGACAGUUGCCAUGGAACCUGCGGAGGACUGGCUGGUGGAAUCCUUGCGCUUGUACCAGGAUUUUCAUGCAUUCGACCUUUCAGGAGCCACUCGGGUACUUGAAUGGAUUGGUGACAAAGGAAUCUUUGUUGCUGGCUAUGAAAGCCUGAAAAAAAAUGAAAUUCUUCAUCUGAUGUUACCGCUCAGACUUUCUGUAAAAGAAAACCAGGGCUUAUUCCCAGAAAGAGAUUUCAAGGUAUGCCACGGAGGAUUUUCACACAGGUCUGUCUUUGAUCUGAAGCACGUGCCAAACACCAGGUUGCUGGUGACCAGUGGCCUUCCAGUGGCCUUGCAGGUGUGGCAGGUCUCAGAGGACAGUGAUAUCAUUGAAGCUGUCAGCACUAUUGCUGUGCACGAGAAAGAGGGGCAUCUCUGGCCUAGGGUGGCCAUCUUCCCAGCAGUAGCACCCGGAGUCCUCCACGGGGCGCGGCUCAGCAGUCUGCAGGUGGUGGAUCUGGAAUCCCAGAAGACCAUGUACACCUCAGGUGUCAGUGACAGCGAGGAGCUAAGUAGCCUGCAGGUCCUGGAUGCAGACACCUUUGCCUUCUGCUGCACCUCAGGCCGGCUGGGGCUCGUAGACACCCGCCAGAAGUGGGCCCCGUCAGAGAAUGGCAGCCCCAGCCCUGGGUCUGGUGGAGCGAGGUGGUAUGCGGAAGUUGGGGGCACGGCCCGGGGCCCUGGGCCCAGCAUCGCCAGCCUCUGCUCAGAUGGCCAGCUCUGUCUUCUUGAUCCCCGUGAUCUCUGUCAUCCUGUGAGCUCAGUCCAGUGCCCAGUGUCCACACCUAGCCCUGACCCAAAGCUGCUGCGAGUGACUUGGGCUCCAGGCUUGGAGAACUGCUUGGCCAUUUCAGGCUUUGAUGGGACAGUCCAGAUCUAUGACGUUACGUCUUGGGAUGGAAUGAAGGGCCAAGUAGAACCUCUGUUCACUCACAGAGGUCACAUUUUCCUAGACAGCAAUGGGAUAGACACAGCUCCACUGGUCACCACCCACACCUGGCACCCCCGCAAACCGAGAACUUUGCUGUCUGCAGCAAGCGAUGCCUCCCUGCAUGUGUGGGACUGGGUGGACCUCCGUACCUCCCACUGACCCCAGUGUCUUCCUGCCAGGCCUCUAGGAUGAGGAGGAGCUGCUAUACAUCAAGGGUACCGAUUUGGGACUCAGGUGACUACAAAUCCCUGUUACUGGCUGAGUGGCCUUGGGCAAGUUAACCAGCCUCUCUUAGCCCCAGUUUCUUUAUUUGUAACAUGAGAGUAGUACCAACUACCUCACAGGAUUGUUGGGGCAGUCAGAGGUAAUAUAUGAAGAAACACCUGGUGUGUGUGGCACAGUAAAGAUUUGGUGGCUUCUUAAAGCAGUCGUGUGCAACAGGCUCCUGCUGCCUCCAGCACGCUUCAGUCUAAUGGGCUUUCAGCACAUAGGCAUCUCAGAGGCCUGAGAGAGACGCCGCCCUUCCCAGUGGCCUGUGGGAGGGAUUCUCAAGAUUGCUGUUGACCAUACACGAUCAUCCCCUGUGCACUGACCUUACGGCCCAGCUCCCAUGUGAGCUGUGCCUCCCAGCAGUUUAUACGCCCAGCAGUUUAUACGGUUGGGAGACUGACAUACAGUGAUAAAGACACCCAUGUUGGAGUCAGACAGAUGAGGGCCCAAGUCCUGCCUCUGUGCAGUUUCUCCUCUCUGUGAAAUGGGCAUAAACCUUGCACCAGCUCACAGCGGCUGAGAGGGUUAAAUGAGACCCUGCGAUAAAGUGCUCAGCACAAGGCCUGACACACUAUGAAUACUCAGUAAAUGCAACUUAGUAUUUUCACUCUGUGUUCUGGACUGGAGGACUGACAUAGUUGUGUUGAAGAGACUGUAGAGCUCUAGUCCUGGAGAGAAGUGAAGGGAGAAGGUCAUGUUCUCUGGGGCUGGGACAAAGUUAUCAAAGUGAGUGAGUGGGAGCCCCCAUCCUGGGCCACAUCAGUGAGGAAGCCUGAGUCAUGCCCACCAGACCGUGGAAUCUGUAGUUCCCAUGUGGUCUAAUACAUUCCUAAUAGAUCUUGAUAUGAAUUUCCACCUAAGUAAAGUAUUUUACAUUGAAAAGAGUGAGGUGAUUUAAAAUAAUCCAUAUGAGACUUAUUUUCUGACUAUACGAAAACUCUAAACUCAGAUUUCUGGGAUACGUUUUUGAAAGCCAGUCCCAAAAGGGCUCUUUUAAAAGUCUCAAAAGCAGCAUCUCAAAACUGAUGUCCUUUGAAGAGAUUCUAUUUUGGGGAAGCAGACAUUGGGCAGAGCCACAUCUCAUCGACAAGAGAGAGGACCAGGCUAGAUAAUAAGCAAGCUUUUGAUACUGUGAACAUUUAUUUAGCCUGCCUUCCCAUGUGCAAGACACUGCUCUGUGUGCUGGAAGUACAGGGGCGUGAGGCUUUCUCAGGUGGCUUAAAGACGGUCCUUAAAGGAAGACUCAAAGAAUGUCUUCAGUAGUGACAACAUCUAAAGGCCACAGCCCACCAAAGUGACUGCUCUUGACAGACAACCCUUAUUUGGAUCUGAAAGCAUGAAGUGAACUGCAAAUGUAACCGAUUUCUGAAUUCAGAAGAAUGGAAACAAUGUGAAAGAGGUCCUUAGCAGACACUUAAAAAAAAAGUCAUCGAUGUCAGCAGACAGAACAUAGACAACUCUCCAUUAACCAGGGACCAGUCAACUGGAAUGUGGCGGAAGCACGGAUAAGACCGGCAGACUUCUGGGUCUCAACUAUGAGAAAUUCAUCCCUCCAAUCUGAAGUUGGCUGUAGUUUUAAUUUGGGGUUAUCUAUGCUCCCUUAUUUCUACGUACCUGGUUAAAUGAUAGUUAUAGUUAAAAUUCAGGUAGAAAUUUAAGAGAGAAACCAUAAACACUAAUUAUUUGUUUGUAUCUAAUUUCCAAGGUAACUAAGGUUCAAAGUUAGGAGAACAGGCUUUUCAGUUCUCCCAACUCCCACGGUUUCAGCACCACUGAGAACAGUAAACCAGGAAGGCCAAAUGCCUGGGUUCCUUUCCCAGCCCCGGCCCAGUGCUGGCUCAUCCAUAUUCCGAAUUCCAGGUCUGUCUUCUCUGGUGGUGGAAUUACUGGCUUUCACUCAUGUCCCACCCGCACAGGAAGUUUUCCGAAUUUUCCUUGAAGUCCUGGAAAUCGUCAUUCGGAAGCUCUUCACAUCUGUCCAACCUUGAGACUUCGUCUGGCUGAGGAACUGAAAGUCUGCUCAAGGGAAAGCAAGAAAAGUCGUAGAGUUCGUCUGUAAUUCCCUUUCUGUUCUCAUAUCCGGAAGUGGUAAGUGAAACGAGAAUGGAAGCACCUCCUAGAGAGGUCUAGUUUUCAGAAGAAAAAGUUCAGUGACUCAGGAAAUUUGCCCCCUUAAGUGAGCGUAUGUGACAAUGAAUGUAUCUAUUUUAAUAAUUAUGGUAACAAUAAUAAUGAAAACUAACAUUUGCGGGGUGCUAACAGUGUGCCAGUAUCCUCUUAACAGCCCGCGGAGGCAGAUACUGUCACUGUCCAUUUAACAGAUGAGAAAAUUGAGGCUCAGGACACUUAACCAGCUUGCCCAGAACACAGGCCUUUAGGUGGCAGGCUAUGGUAUGUAGUACACGCAGAGUUCACAUCUGUGGGGUACUUUAAAUGGAAACAAACUGAAACUUCAACCUCUUCUCUGUUUUUGUGAUACUGAUACUGAAAGCAGGCAGAGAGAUCCCUCUGCUACAGAGCAGAGCUAAACCCUCAGUGUGGACUUCGUGAGUCCCCCAGGACUGUUGGUUCAGUGGGGGGUUGAUUUUAAUAUUUAGGAGAAGUAAAUAAUGUUCCUCUAAAGAAGUCAGCAAUUUUCCUCCUGACAGGGCCAUUCCAGGAACCAUUCUAGUGAUAGCAGAGUGACAGACAAUAAGCGUGUCUCCUGAUUCACAGUCCCUCAGCUUCCCACAUGACUCUCCCCCAGUGGUGGGAAUUGCUUACCACUGGGGUUCCCCCUCAAAGCCUGGGGAACACGGCUUCUGGGCUCCUGGGGCUCCUCUGCCAUUUUAUUACCAUUCCAUCCCCUGUCGCAGCUCCCAGCACUGCCUUCUGGUUCUUGGAGUCCCCUCCAUUGCAGAGGAGGUCUGCCACCUCUCAGGCACUGAUGGUAUUGGCAAGGGCCCAGGGACUCAUCAAGCGUCCAUCUCGUCAUAGAAGGGGCAGGUGCCUGGACUGUGGGUGCUCUUGGCUUUGUGGUAGUGGGUCUGGAAGUUUUUGAACCGGUGGCAUCACUGCUCCAGGGUCCAUAGGAAAUCACAUUCCUGCAGCCGCUCAGCCACAGGCCAGUACACCUGGUGGUUCCAAUGGCAGGUGCGGAGUUUUUCAUGGAUCCAGGAUUCACUGAGAAUUUCCAGAGAAAUCUUGGUUUUGUCAUAGCCCCAUUGCACCUCUGCCACCUUCUCAUCCUCCAGGCCCUGCCACUCCAGCUCAUCCCAGGUCUUGGCUUUUCUCAGGACAGGCAACCGGCCAGGCUGGACUCUUCCCCACCACCCGCUGGGGAGCCUCGCACAUGCUUCCUCCCUCUGGAGCGCUGACGAUCUGAGCUCUGUGGCUCUAUCUCCUCCAUGUGAGAGUUCACACUGGGCCUGUGGGUUGAGAAAUCUGUUUGCAGGGAGACAAAUAGAAGAUGUAAUGGUUUGGUGAAUCUAAUCCUAACAACUAAAUACCAGGAAGGAAGGCUCAGUGCAAGUCAUGUCAAGGACUGUGAGAGAAUAAGAAAAAAAUCAGGCCCAAAUCUCUAGUUAUAUAUCUAUAUCCACCUAUCUGGACACCUGCCAGAGGUGUUACCACCUUCCUAAGAUGGGCUUCAAUGCAGCACCCACUGUGGACUCCAGAAACACCCUUCACAGCACUGAUGAUGGUAUUAGAUUUAUAUGUCUCUUCAAGUGGAAUUGAUGGAAUGGAUUUGAAAAACUCAACUCAAAAGGUCUGGAGUGGUGAAUGCCACAGAAACCCCACAGCUAAUUUGGUUGUAAAAAAAGAAGAGCAUUAUUACCUAGCAAGGCUCCAUUUGCAGAUUUCUCCCAACUUAUUUCCAGAUGGUUCCUCUGUUCAGGUUCUGGUCGCCUCUGUCCCUCCUGAGAGAGACAUACACAGCCACACCACCAAAUGUCACCAACUCCUGAGAAAACAGAACACCUCUACUCAAAACACGCUACCAUUGGACAAACUGCCUCUAUACUGCCUGAGUCAGAGGGCAGGGGACAAAACAGACUCAGAAGAAACUAACAAACAAGUGAGUUUCCUUUGGCUUUUAAAUGGAACGGGGAGCACAGGAAGGGAGCAGGGGAAGAGAAAGAAAGAGAAGAAAUAAGCUAACAUUUACUGAACAGCUGUGCCCUGUGCUAGAAACCUUUCAUACUUGUUUAGGUUACACAGUAUGUGGCAGACUUAGGAUUUGAACUCGGCUGUCGGACUCCGAAGCUCCCCCACCCCCACUUCACAAUCUUGCAUACCAAGAUCCAGAUAGACAAAGAAGGACUGUUUCUUCUUACCUCUCUUGUGGAAGAACUGGAGUUCUACCUUGGGACUGUGGUUCAGCUAUUCUUCUGGCUCUGGCUGUGAGCGCUUCACCAGUGCCUGGCACAGACACAUGGGUUCUGUCUGCUGGCCUCAAAUGGAUGUUUAGGAAACCCAGUUCUGAUCCUGAGGGUUACCUCUCCUCUGAGAGCAUCUCCUCUCUCUGUUCAAGAACUGGAGUGGUCAAAAUUCUGUAGGCACUAAAAGUAAUCAUCUCAGGACACAAGAAAAGGAGGAAAUCAGUCUUACACAAAUCUCUACAAGGGCAGUGAGGCGUGUGGAUGUGUGGAAGACUUGAGAGAGUUAAAGGGUGGCACCAGGCCCACUGCAGGCUGCUCACCAGCUCUCCUGGGGCUGUUCCUGUCAACCCUUAGGCAAAACUCAGAGAUCCAAUCAAUAAUAAAGCUAUUUUGCAAUAGGAUGCAAAGAUUCAGUAAUGUCAGUGGAGACCAGUGGAGCCCCUUGAUUCAGGCUGGCUGUCGCUGAAUGCCAGCUGUUCUCCAAAAAGAGAACAGCUUUUAUGUGUUCUGUGAUCCUGAGUGGUGCUCCAGCCAUUUUAAGUGAUUCUCAUUUAAGGACCAACACUCAGAGCAGCCAGCGUUGGGCAUUCUCUGAGGAGUCAGUCUGAACUUGGGAGGAAAGGGGCAGCUAACAGGCCUGGGGGAUAAGCAGAUUCCACUUUGACACAAACAGCAAAGUGCUACACAUCCCCCACACUGCUGUUAACCCCAGGUGGCUCUGUCUCUCACGUUCCUCUAUUUUAACUACUCAGCACUAAGUUCUUGUAUCUCACCCCGAGGGGAAAUUUCCUUUUUCCAGUGAGAAUCUUCUGCCAGCUUCACUCUUCGAAGUUCUCCCUGUACUUGAGGAGCCUGGAUUUGUUGGUCCACAGCUACAGCCAUUGUUCAGCUCAGAGAAGAACCUUUCAGCUGUGCUCUGAAGUUCAAACCCCUUCCUUUACCUUACUGGGAAGCCACCUUCAAAUAGGGGUCACUACAUAGAACUUGAAAUUCUAGAGCCAGAGACAUAACAUUACAGAGUGAACUCUAGUGAAAACCACAAGUGUUAGCCCAACAGGAUUUAGGUGAAGGAAAGAACCUUCCUGUUCUCUCCUCCUCAUGUCCUGGUGCCUGUGGAGGCUGGUCCUCUGUCACUGGGGACACAGCUCCAGAAGUUUGAUAGCAAGGAUCAAGGAUCAAGGACUAGUGAUCUGGUUGGAAACUAGGACAGCUCGAAGCUCUGUCUGAGCUGCGGGAUAUAAUAAGGACAAUAAACAGCCCAUCCCACAAGGCACUGCUCUUCAGUGUUGCAAAGUGAACGUGCAGGGGAAGUCGGAGACGGCGCUCAAGGUAGCAGUACCUUGGAGAGCAGCACCCUGAAAAGAAGCACCGGUUGACAGUGGCUCCAGGCUUUGGAGAUGCAAAUACUCUAACCAACUGCCUCCCCUCUGGCUGGAUUCUCAGCUUUGGGCUCCUCGUUCAGGAUUCCUCAGUCCUGGCAUCAUAACUCACUCCUAAAUAGGGAGAUUUACCCUGGUUAAAGUUACAAGCUUUAAGAGUAAGGAUAAUAUAUAGGAUGUUAAGAGUUGGAAAGAAAGUUAAGAUACUCCGGCAGGAACUCCAAGCUGAAGCAAUCACAGCUCAGAGACGCCCCCCCCCUCCUCCCAGAGACUUGCCCAAGGUCACAUAGCUGGUUUAUGGCAGGAAGUGGACAGUGGUUCGGCCCUUUGGCCGUGGACUGGGUAACUGACCCGCAGAGCGUGACUUAAAUUGCUCCGCAGGCGACGUUCUCUGGAUCUAUGGGGUAAAGGCGGGCCCUGAGGGCGGGCGUUGUCUCCUCGAUGGCUACAGAGCCGAGGUCGUCCCUGCUGGGCCCUGUGGGUGGUGAGGAGGAAGGCGCCUCAGCGUAAGGGGCUCAUCCUGCUCCAGGGUCUGCUCGCCGGACCUCGGCCUGAGGUGGUUGGACCCCAGAUCUCGACCCGGCCACGCCCACCCGAUGAGGGGGCCCAGGCCCGCGGUGAGAGCCGCUCCCGCCUGCUGCGGCCCUGCAACUGGGCGGCCUGACCCCAAGGCGCUCGAACCCUAGUCCAGACCCUUAGCCCGCACUCGGACGGCCACCAAACACCGGAAGCAGAAACACGAGCCCCAGAAGGACUCAGGCAUCCCCGGACUUCGUUUCCCGUAGGCCUCCGCCUGUGUCCGCAGACUGACAGCACCGUUAACCAAUAAAAUGGGAAUGGUUUGGGAGCCUAUUUGUUUCGGACGAAUCAUUGGUGAUGGGUGGGACCCUCCACGUUGGAUCUGGGGUCCCUAUCCACAACUACAAGUGACCCAGCUGGCGAGGAGGUGGUCCUGCUUCGCUUCCUGGACUCUCGCGGGAAUUAGGGGGAUUGGCAGCCAGUCGCCUGGCGGUUCCGUGGCACUGACAGAGUCCUUUCCAAAGCGUCUCCCUCAGAGCUGGAAGCGGGUGAAUUUAUUUACCUGUGUUACAAAGGUAAAGAAACCCAGGCGGCCUGGGCCCGAGAGCUCUCUGUGAAACGGAAACUCCAGUUAUUUAGCCGCAGAGGAAAGUGCUUUUCUGGCGUGGCUGUCCACUGUGGUGAUGCUCCGCCACCUGAAUCCGCCCCCUGAACCCGCCCCCUCGCCCAGCGCGCACACACUUCCUCCUCUCGCGCGUGCGCCUCGUUCUGAGGGACUGAAGACGGAUACCACAGACGCUUAUUCAAACGUCAGGUGUGGAGCGUCUACUUUGGGCCCAGCAAAACACUCUCUUAAGGAGUGCAGUCCAGCAAGGGACGCACUAAGACGCUACUGUGAAUAACCCGAAUAACUCCAACACAUUGUGGUAUUUUUCGUGGCUUUAAUAAUGCAGUGGAAUGAACCAACUUCAAGACUAGAGUAGUUAAGCCACAGGUGCUGGGUAAGUCACUUACUAACCUCUCCUCUGAGUCCCCACUUCCUCAGCUGGGAAGUGGGAAUACAGACCUCCACCAUAGGGCUGUUGUCAAGGUUAAGUGAGACAUGCAUGUAAAGAGCUUGUGCAGAGUAAAUGCUUUGUAAAUUGUG